UGUUGGGGAACAAGUUGUUUAGAGUAAAUGCCCAAUUAAUAGAUAUCUGACAAUCCUAAUAGAAGCUUCCAUGUGUGAAGCCUUGGGAUGUUGCAUCAAUUGACUAAGACACUGAACAACAAAGCUGAAAUCAGGUCUAAUCACUGUUACGUAUAACAAUCUCCCUAUAAGUUUUUAAUAUUGUCACGACCCAAAGUACAUCCUAGUCGUAACAUGGCGUAUAGGACCUCGAGAGACCCAAUACAAGUCACUUAGCAUACAUAUACAAGAUAAUAGAAUCUUAAAGAGUUCAAAAGACAUUUGAAUCAUAAAGAGUUCCAUCAAAAACAGAAGUCUAACAUAAGUCUCAAAGCCACUAUUGGAAAGUGAUUGAAACGUAACCCAUACAUCACAAUAUGAAAUGAAAAGAUUUGAAAGCAAUAAAGAAUCUUGGUCCUCGGAACAUGAGGACUCACCAAUCUUCAAUGUCUAUAUGGGAUCACUGGCCACGAGUGUGCGGAAUGGAAGCGUCGGACCCUACAUUAGUGAAACAAUGUAGGCACAAGUAUGCAUUAGUACAUGGAAUGUACUAAGUAUGAUAACAAUGCAUAAAGAGUAAUGAAAUCUUGCUAAAAGGGACUUUAUAUGACAUGCAAUGAUCAAGCUAAAUCAUAAAAUAACAUGUUAGAAGACAUAAGUCGAAAUCAUGGUCAAUGCAAGCUAAACAUCUUUAAAACACAUUUGAGAUACUUCUAGAAGUAACCUUAGUUCAUUCUUGUGGGAAGUUUGCCAUUAACUGACAUAGACCAUGUGAGCUAUAACAUGGAAUCUAGUGUCUAUUCCACAUCGAAAAGAGAUGUCCUUACUUGCCAAGGUAAGAACCAUAAACUUCUAGCUUAGGUGGAUCCACUAGCUAAUCUCUAUCUAAGACAACCUAUGGUGACACAUAGUUAUGUGAUAGGGAGAUUGCUACUAGAAACCCAGCCUCAACUAUGGGAGAGCUUCCAUCUUGAUAUCCUCUCGGUGCUAAUUAAGCAUAAAUCCCACGGAAUAGUCAUUAAUCUUAACUUAUCUUAUUAUCCAUGGAAGGGCACAUGAAGUAGCCAAUCAAAGCUAGAAUUCAUUAUAGCCAAUCCUAGGUGAGAAAACCUUUCAACCUUGUGAAUCAUUUAUGUGAGCAAAUCCUUUCACAAUAACUUCAUAUGUGAGAAAUCCUUUCACAACAACAAUUCAUAAAGAAACAUGCAUAUCUUCAUAAAUUCAUCUUUCAUAUUUCAAAAGCUUCAUCAUAUAAUCAAAAUCCAGAAAAUUAUGGAUCAUGCAUGGGUUCAAUUGCAUUGAACUUAAAAACAUGUAGUUAUCUCAAUUCAUGCAUAAAAAUACAUAAAACAAUCAAUUGGAUCAUAAUUGAGAGCAACCCAUGAAAUUGAAUAAAACCCUAAUUUCAAUUGGAGAACUCUAACUUGUAAUAUUGGAGAAUUUAGGAACCUUAUGGAGGAAAGAACUCCACAGGUGAAUACUAUCAUACCUUGAUGUCAAAAACCCCCAAUCAAUGGUGAAUUUGGAGACUGGAUCCUGAAACCCUAGACUAGUUUAUCAAACAUAUCAAGCCUAUUUAAGAAUGACAAGAAGGUACAUCUAUUAAUUGCCUGUGUAGACUUUGGCCUAUUCAAGAAUGACAAGAAACAACAUGCAUUAAUUAGUUUUUGUACAUUUCGGGUUACCUAAAAUGUUAACAAUAACAUACUUUUUGCAGUCUUCCAACUGGGAUCUUUGAAGGGUAGGAUGUAAGCAGAUCUUACCUCUACCUUCGUAAGUCAGAGACUAAAAAACUCUCGAUUCAAAAGGAAAGUACCUAGGAUACAAAAGAAAUGUAACAAUAAGAGGUUACCUAAAUGUUACUGAUGGUAAUCGUCCAUAAAAUACAAUAAGUUAAAUGCAAUCAUGUAUAGUUGGCUCAUCACUUCGUUUGAGUUGGAUGUUGGUUUGCAACCAUUGCAGGAAGAAUCAGUACUAAGUAAUUAGGAAAAGGAAAUUGAACAGAUAGAGCAACAACAAAAUACAUGUUUUAUCGCAAAUACUUCUUAACUAAAUCAAUCAACAAAGAAAAUAAAAACAACAUUCAGCUGCAAAAUUCUCUUUUGUAUUCAGAUUGCAUAACGACAAUCACAAGAAGCUCAGCUCAAAAACAUAAAAAACUGAAUUGUAUCGCAACUUCAAGCAACAUGAGAAAUUGUAGCUAUAACUUAUAGAACAACCUUGAAUUCCUUAAAAUACCUAUAGAAAUAACCUAUUAUAAUCAAGAAACUCGCCUUGAAACUAUAUACUCAAGUGAAAUCCUCACUAACCACAUAACUGAAAAGUAGCAAUAAGAUGAUUUUCAGUUCACUCGAGUAGCCAACAUGUCUAUAGAUAUGAUUGCACAAGUGUAUAAACAAAUUCGUAACAAUGACCACGAUUUAAUUUUCUGACUGUUCUUCCCUCAUUUCAAACAAAUCAUACUAAUUACUCCCAAACUCCAAAAAAAAGAAAACAAUCAAACCAUGUAAAGACAAAAGCAUAAAGUACCUGUAACAAUUAGCAAAGUUCAAAAAAAAAAAUUCAAUUACAAUACUUAGAAACCAGUAGAACACGAAUUGAAAAUAUUGAUUCUUAAUUUCAGCUUCAAUUCUACAAAAAUUGAAACAAGUAGAAAUAGGAAUUACUUAACAAAUCAUAUAUAUAAAUAUAUCAAAAUAUAUUAAAAACUCGAAGAGAUUUAACUCGAAGCUCCAAUUCUCCUUCAGAAAUUCAUACUAAGAACAACUCUUCUUUCACACACACAUACACUAUCAUAGAAGGUUGUGAACGUGUUCAGAAAUUUCUCAAACUUGUGAGAAAUACCAAAACCCUACCUGAAACGAAGUUGAUGAAGCGAGAUCUUCUUGCUCCUAAGCAAACUAGUAAUGGAUGACCCACUUCUCAAUGGACUCUUCGAUCAAGACCUUCCGACGAUAACCCACACACCACCUCUUCCUUAUAUGCCGAGAAGAAACCUUGUUUUCUUUCCAUUUCCUGGAAAAAAUCAAAAUCCCAAAAUAUUUUUCAACCAAACAAAUAGACUUAAGGGUUAGCAUGAACGAAAUUUCUAGGUCAUAAAUUGCAUAAUCACAUAAGAGAGUAGAAUCUAGAAAGGGCACUUAGCUGAAGAGAUGGAGCAAAAUUCUUUAAGAAUGAAAUUUAGGUCUCUGCUUCUAUUUUUUUCUGGUAAUUACUCCUUAAUAUCGACAAUGUCUUCCAAUAAUAGCAUUACAAUCAAAAUGGUAUAUCAUAACAAACCCCUUAAACCGUAUUAUCAAGAACCCUAAUCCCCUUUUCCAAACCAAAACACAUCAAUAUCCAAAAAAGAAAAAAAAACUAAUCAGAUCUCGUCUUCAUGAAAAAGCAUAUUGGGAAUGCCUUUACUGAAAGGAAAUUUUCGGCCAGUCUCUGGACAAACCAAGGCACCCUCUUCAAGAUGAAGCUCAAGAAGGGCAUGAUGAAACUUCUGAACAAAAUCAUCUAAGUCGAGCAGAGCAACAUCAACAUUUCAGGAAGUUCGGCGUAACCCAUGGUUCUAGAAGCUUCCGCCAGUUCCUUCCAUUCAACCUUAAGGAACAUGUUCUUGAGAAAAUCGAUAUUAAAAUCAACCUCCCUCUCUACUUUCACAACCUCGAUCUUCAACGGAAAUCCAUUUGCGACUUCCUUGAUGUUGGAUGAUAAUAUAUUGUGAGUUAGCAACCUCUUUUGGAAGUUGGAAAGAAUUUGCUAAUGCGAGGAACUUUCGAUUUUAUAGGCCUUGGACGGUGCCGGAGAAAUUGUAUUUUCAGUCGUUUACGGAGGAAUCUUAUAAUUUUAGCCAAAAAUGAUACUAUAUCCCAUAGUAGUCUUAUCUUUUAGAAAUUGGGGGAAAGUUAUAUGGGGUGGGGGGGGGGGGGGGACUCUUAUUGCAAUUUUUUUUAUGAGAAUUAAUACGACACACUUAUAAAGUGUUGUUUUUCGACUUAUAAAUAUAGCACAAUUUAAAGUGUGACUAUAUAUAUAAAUAAGUGUUGACAAUUGUUCUAUGAUUUGGCAACACUUAUUAAGUGUAGCAUAUUAAAAAGCACACUUUCAAAGUGUUGCCAAUAUUUUUGUGGCCAAAAGCUGGAUAUAAAGGUCACACUUUAAAAGUGUGCUCUUAGAUACUUUUUGCAACACUUUUUAAGCGUUCUCUAGAAUUAGUGUUGCCAUAGGCCAAAUUUGUUGUAGUGAGAAUAGCCAAUCCUAGGUGAGAAAACCUUUCAACCUUAUGAAUCAUUUAUGUGAGAAAAUCCUUUCACAAUAACUUCAUAUGUGAGAAAUACUUUCACAACAACAAUUCAUAGAGAAACAUGCAUAUCUUCAUAAAUCCAUCUUUCAUAUUUCAAAAGCUUCAUCAUAUGAUCAAAAUCUAGAAAAUUAUGGAUCAUGCAUGGGUUCAAUUGAAUUGAACUUAAAAACAUGUAGUUAUCUCAAUUCAUGCAUAAAAAUACAUAAAACAAUCAAUUGGAUCAUAAUUGAGAGCAACCCAUGAGAUUGAAUAAAACCCUAAUUUCAAUUGGAGAACUCUACCUUGUAAUAUUGGAGAAUUUAGGAACUGUAUGGAGGAAAGAACUCCAUAGGUGAAUACUAUCAUAUCUUGAUGUCAAAAACCCCCAAUCAAUGGUGAAUUUGGAGACUUGAUCCUGAAAUCCUAGACUUCUUCUUCAAGCUUUAGAGAGAGAAAUUUUGGGGGAAGAACUUGGUCAACUUUUGGGAUUUUAGGAGAAUAAGUUCAAUUAGGUAAUUUGGGGGUUAAAAACGUUUAUAUAGGGCCUAGGGUAGAAGGUAAAACGACAUAGUAUUGAGUUAAAUCAAUUAUGAAAUUACCUAAAAGCCCUUAAAAUAAAAUUGCCGAACCUUCACUGACGGUUCAGACCUAUAGUCUGUAGGUCCUUCUAUGGAUCGUCCCGGUCAACCGUAGGUGGGGUUCAGGGACUUGUUUUUGGACCUUCAAACUAAGUGGCCCAUGUACGGUUGGUAGGUCUACCUACAGAGCGUACAUGGCCACCGUAGGUCCUAAAAACUUCCAAAAAAUUUACUUCCUUUUUCCUUGUCACCUCCGCAUGCAACCUACGACCCAUAAAUGAUCUUACCAACCAUAGGUGGGAGCCGUAGGUCACAGCUAAAACCCAGAAACUGCAUUUUCUAUUCUUCUAAAAUCUGAGGUAUUACAAAUAUCUCCCUGGAUCGGGCAAAGAUCCUAUCAUAAUUAUCACCAACAUGUUUAUCAAAUCCAACAAUGAUGUACUUGAGAGUAAGCUCCAUGGGAGAUUGAUGUUUGCGUAAUCAAGACACAACUUCCGAUGCAAGUUUCUACGAUCGUACAAUAGUUUAGUAAACCAACCAAGGGUUGGGGUCGAGGUGACGCAAGCGUCAAAUAUCAAAUGGGGGUUUGUAAGCAAGAAACAACCAAAACAGUGAGAAUAAGGAAAAAUACAAGUAUGGAGACGAGAUUCUUGAGAUGUGAUAGGAAUAUGGGAUAGACUAAAAUCAUUGGGUACAUGCUUUUGAUAUUAAAUUCAUUGGAAUAAGGAAAAAUACAAGUAUGGAGACGAGAUUCUUGAGAUGUGAUAGGAAUAUGGGAUAGACUAAAAUCAUUGGGUACAUGCUUUUGAUAUUAAAUUCAUUGAGUAUUUGUGACUAGGCUAGACUUUAAGGGGGAUAAGCUCUCUCUUGAGCAACUUACCCCGUUUCAAAUGCGUUCCUCUCGGACACCCACUUGCCGCAUGAAGAACAACCUCCGCCUUAACCGACUCUCUCGAGCUGAGUGUGUGGACAUGGAAGUAGGGUUCACUCUCUCGAGCUGAACCUCAUAUCGACCCACUCACACUGGCCAUCAAUUUAGUGGUCUUAGUUUUACGACUUCUCUCUCUCGCAAGCCGAAAACACAUAAAUAAACUUGUAUUUGCAACUACAAAUUCACUAAAUUCAUCCACAAUCACUAAACGAAAUCACAUUUAAACUACGAAUAGACAAUCAUCAAGCAAGACCCAAUAACUAAUCUAACCCAUAUUCACAAAAUCACACCCCAAGAAUUGGCGUUUUAGCUACGCAUGUAAAAGAGAUAAAGACGUAUACCAAUAUCAGUUUCCAUCAAUGGGUAUGCAAGAUUAAGUCUUAAAACAAGCCAAGAGUGAAGAACCCAAGAGACCCAAGUCCAAUUCCUUGAAUUUGAAACCCUUUGAAAGCUCCAAGUUCUUUAAAACCCUCUCCAACACUUAGAGAGAAUGUUGCAAAAUUGUACUAAGAAGGAAUUGCAACGCUGACAAGUCACUGAUGAAGACCAAGACAUUGUGGAUACCAAGUCUUUUAUGGAUUUCAGAAAUGAGAAGUAUAACAAAGACAGGCAAUAAGUUGGAGAAUGACAUUGCUAAGAGUGGAGGAGAUUGUGGUAAAAGUAAGGAAGUACAUCAACAACACUACAAGACUCAAAAUACCCAUAAGUUUGAUAACAACAAGUCAAUUGGUCGUUAGAGCUAUACGUAAAAGAAAGCAUAGUCCAAGAGGAAGGGAUGCAACAUAUGCAGAGGGCCACAUAGUUUGAAGGAUUGUCUCGACUUAAAAAGUCUUAGCGCUAUGGUGCAUGAACAUAAGAAGAAAGAACAAGAAAAUAGUUCAGUAACAACUCAAUUAGGAGUGGUUGGACUAUGUGAAUCCAUCACAAAGUCAGCUAGCCUAGUUAACGAGAAUAGAAAUCAGUACGCGGAUGUAACGCCCCAAAAAUUACAACACAAAUUAGACCUUGAGUUUUUUAGAAUGCUGCCACGGAAGAAAUCUACGGAUCGUAGAAGUAUCUACGGACCGUAGGUGGGUUCGUAGAAUCAUGCUCUAAAAAUUGUUCUCAGGUCCAAGUUUCACGGACCAGACUACGACUCAUAGAACCUUCUACGGUUCAUAGAAAGGCCUCGUGGAACUCAAGUCCAGAUACAAUCCUAUUAAGUUUCCUACGAUUGAGCAGGACGACCUAUCAAAGUUCCUACGGGGCCAAAGAAAGGAUUUGCAGACCCCAACUACAAAGAUCCAGAACCCAACAUGUUUUCUACGAGAGAGUCUAUGGUCCGUAAACUUUUGUACAAACCGUAUAUGGCCUUUUGUAGACAACUUCUGUUAGUUUUAAGAGGGUUUAGUUUUUGUCUUUUCCACCCUUUAUAAACCUAUACCUCGAUAUUUAUACACCUAAUUAAGGUCAUAAGAAACCCCUAGCACAAACUUAAGUUGAAAGCUUCCUUACCAAUUAAGUUAGGAGAUAAGAUUAUACUUAGGUCAACUUCAGAUGAUCAUAUCUCUUAGCAUAUAAUGAAUUAGGUGGCACAUGACCUAUCAAAUUAAAGAUAUAUGAGUCCUGUUUCCAAUUCCACCAUGUUUGCCUCAUUUUCAGCUCAGAGUAAAAAGUAAUACCCAUUUUAGUGAAGAUUUGUCAGGCAGUCGAUGUUCUACAACUGGACCUACGGACAAUGGAAAUUUCCACGAAUUGUAGACCCUUCCAUGAAGGCUUGCUGCAAUUUUUUCUGCAACUUUCUACACGCGUUCUAGGGUUAUUUUGGUCAUUUUCCAAGCUUUUAAACCUUAUUAUAUGUCAUUUUUGAGUAUUUUAACUGAGUAUAUCAUUCAAAUAACUAGUUUUCCUCUCAUAAUCAAUAAUAUAAACAUUCAAGUAUUUAGAAAUUCACUUAAAACUCAACUAGGGUUCCUCUUCUCCAUCAAGAACCCUAAAACUUCAAGUAAAAAAUUAAAGAUACAAAGAGAAACUUUCCAUUGAAGGUUUCCCAAGUUCUGUCAGUCUAAGAACUUCAUAAUUCUUUUCUCAAGAUCAAGCCCCAAGAUUCCAUGCUCAAAGACUUCCUCCAAGAAAGCUAAUGUUCUUUCUCAAGCUCAAGAUAAAUGAUGUCUCCACUAAAGUUUUCAAUCUAAUAGCUUUAUAAUCAGCUACGUAAGGCUAUCAUAAUGAUCGACAGAGUUCGUCCUCACGCCCUACAUCUAUCUAAAUUCAGUAAACGAGUAAUAUUGGGUUUUAUCCCCCUUUUUGAAUAUUCUUGAGACGAGUUAUAUUGUUAAGUUAUGAGUUCUUAAUUCCUGAGUAUUGAGUUAUUUUUCAUUGUAUUGAGAUCCUUGAUGUUAUUUGUUCAUGUCUAUAUUCAACAUGAACCCUACUGUUGAGUUAAAUUUGAGAAUCUUUUCAAAACAAAUGUUUUGUCUUUAAAUUGAUAUAUGAGUAGAGAAAAUUAUGAGUUUUGAGAAAAAGUUUUCAAAUAUGAAUUGAGUAAGAGUAUAAGGGAACUAAGUAUUCCCAAAGGUAUCACCUUUUACAUUGAUAAACUAGAAACUUUGAUUUCUAAAUGAGUUAAUGAGUUCAGAGAUAUUUCAGAGCAGUUACCUUUUUAACAGGAUAAUUCUAGUAAUUACCUCAAAUUGAGAAAGAGUAUGCUUUACACAUUUGAGCAUGAGUAUAUAUUUAUUGGGAGUCAUGUUGAGCAUCGAUAUGUGGAUGAGUUUAGACAACUCACAUUCCUCAUAAACCACGUGGCUAAUAUGGAUAAAGGAUUGUACUUUUUAGACGACUCCUUGUUUCUUUCAAGCAGAGGUUUAGUGGUUCUACUUAGUUGACAUGUUCUAUAUCCUGGCAAGUUAUAGGAUAGUUCUGGCAGCGUGGGCAAGCUGUUGUAUCAUCACGUUGAUCAUAGUGAUGGUUGAUGGUUAAAGAAUCUCCCAAAUAGAGUUAAAAGUGUAUUUUUAUCAUAUCACUUUAUAUGUUGAGUUCAAAGAUAAGUAAGUAUUUGUAAAGUUUAAUUGAUUUCACUCCUUUAUUUAUUUACAUUCCAUUUAGUAUCUUGCUUCAACUUCUUUAGUUAAGUUGUUUAUUUUCCUCGGCUAUAUUGCAUACUCGCAUAUUUCAAUGUACUGAUGUCAUUCAACCUGCAUCUUUUCAUGAUGCAUAUAUAGGUGUUCAUGAUCAUCAACAGGUGCUUCGUUGAGAUCACUUUGAACUUCUUGUUAGCUUUGGUGAGCCUUCUUUGAAUUCCGAAGGACUCCACUUUUGUCUUUUAGUUUAGUAGUUUUGAGUUGUCGUGGGUCUUGUUCCAACAUUAAUGUUGAACUAUAGAGGCUUCAUAGAUAGUUAGUGUUGUGUUUCUUUUACUAUUUCCUUUGAACUAUUUUUGCAAACUAUUAUUGUUUUCAGAGUAUUUUCAGACAAUUUUGAGUACUAUUUUGAAAUAGUUUGAGAAGUUUUGAGAUUUUGAAUUUAAAUUAUGUUUUAAAGCUUAAUCUGCUUGAGUUAGUCUUCUGCUAAGUAGUCAUCCAGGCCAAGGGUUUUCUUGGGGAUCAACAAUGGUUCUCAAAUGUCGGCCAUGUCAAGGGUGUAGGCUCCAGGCAUGACAAUGGACCUUAUAAUCAACAAUAAUAUUGCUCAUGCAUUGGUUGACACUGGAUCAACUCAUAAUUUUAUGACCGAGGCUGCAAUGAAGAGGCUAGAGUUGAAGCAUGCUCAAACUAAUUAUCGCAUCAAAAUCGUGAUUGCCGAUCCUUAAAAUUUUCAUGGUGGUGCUAGUGGUGUUGAUGUCAAAUUGGGAAAUUGGAAAGGUACGACAUAAUUUUCCAUUACAAAAUAGACAUCUAUGAUAUUAUUCUAGGGCAAGAGCACACAAUGUCAUAUCUUGAUCGAUCCCUACCUUCAUUUUCUCUUGGUCAUAGAACAAGAAGGGGCUUGCAUGGUGCCUUAAUAACUAUAUUGGUAACACCUAUGAAGUGCAAAAGAUAACUUGACAAUUUAAAAGUAGAGAAAAUUGUUGGUGCAAUGUUUUACGGGACCUAUGCACAUGCCAUAGUUGGCUCCAUGACCCGUGGAAGUGGCUCGGGGAGUGAUUUUGAAAAAUGGGAAAAAUAUUCAGUCUCUAAUCCAUUUUCACGAGCCAAUAGGAUGACUCAUGGUUAGAUUCACAACUGAUGGAUGGUGGGUCGUAGUUCUCACCAGAGGGUCUUCAGAUUCUUAAGUAGUACAUGUUCCUAUCAACUUUGCUCAGUCUUGGUGAGUCUUCAUGGUUCAAGGACUCGCCACUUAUGUUACUUUUAUAUCAUUCAGACUUUACUUCAGUUUCAUAUGUUUCGAGUGAGCAAGGGCUUGUAUUUAGAUUUUCCAUGUUAUGUUGAGUUUACCAUUUGAAACUACAACUUCACUUAUAUUUUUUACAUAGUUAUGUUGUUGUCUUAGUGUCAUGUAUGCCAUGUGGUUUGCUUGGGGUCUCUCGGGACUCUAGGUACCAUAUCACAUCUAGGGUAAGUCUUGGAUCUUGACAAACUUGUUAUUAAAAACAUCAGGUUCAAGUGUCUUAGGGUGUCUCAGAGCCGCGUUAAGUAGAAUUUUGUUCAUAGGUGUGAAGCGCACCAUAUUUAUGAAUGAGAAGGUAUGAGACGCUUAAGAAACUUUACUUCUUUUAUAACUCUUAAGUCGUGUGACAGAGUUGAACUCUAUAAGGUUGCCUACUAACUCAUUUUCUAUAUGUUUCAGAAUGAUGCUUCCAAGAAGAGAUCCGGUGAGAAGGAACUUGAAUGCGGAGCAAGAAGCACCACAAUCUCAUUGAUCCUUUGGCCAAGCAAGUCACUCAUGCCGAGCUUAGGGCUGCUUCCCAAUAAUUUGCCCAAUCCAUGAUUUUUCAAGCUAAUUGUGAAGUUGUAGCUGUCGUGAACCCAAAUAUAGGAAUGGCGACAACUAGGGUUCAAGACUCCACAAGGAUGAAUCCUCCAGAAUUCCAUCGUUCUAAUGUUGAUAAGGAUCCACAAGAGUUCGUAAAGGGGAUUUAAAAGAUUGUUUAGAUUAUGUGCGUCACUCCGAUUGAGAGUGUAGAAUUGGAUGCAUGUUAAUUGAAUAGGAUCUCUCAAAUUUGGUUCAAUCAAUGGAAGGAAGAAAGGACUAUUGAUGCAAAUCCUUUAGAUUGGGAUAAGUUCAAAGGUGCUUUUUUAGAUCGAUUCUUCCCUUUUGAGUUGAGAGAGACAAAGGUGCAAGAGUUCAUCAAUUUGAAGCAAGGUAUUAUGAGUGUGAAUGAGUAUUCUUUGAAAUUCACUCAACUCUCCAAGUAUGCUCCAGCUAUGGUGGUUGACUCUAGAGCCUGUAUUAACAGGUUCAGUUUCGGUGUCUCAGGGAUGGUUGUGAAAGAGUUUAGAAACAACCAUCUUGAUCAAAGAGAUAUAUAUUUCUAGGUUGAUGACUCAUGUUCAACAAAUUGAGGAAUAGAAGCUUAAAGAGAAUUCUAAGGAGACUAAUAGGGCUCAUAGUGUUGACUACUCUUAUUAGAGAUCCAGUGGUGAUAGCCAUUCUCAAUUCAAAAAAUGCAUUCAGGCCCGACUCCAUCUUCUGCUAGCAUUCUGAUGUAAUGUUCAACAAGGAUAUGGUGUCAAACCCUAAGUCUCAGAGUAGUGCUUUUAUUGGACAUUAUUUCCCUACCCACCAAAAGUAUGGUAAGAACCACUCAGGCAACUGUUUAGCCGGUACCGAUUGAUGAUAUGGUUGUGGUAAGGUUGGUCAUAGGUUGAGAGAUUGCCCUUCCCUUGCUAGGAAGGGGAGAGAUGGUCUUAACCCUAAACCAUAAACCCGAAACCCUAAACCCUAAACCCUAAACCCUAAACCCUAAACCCUAACCAUAAACCCUCACUACACCAUUUUAGGCCUAAGGCCACACUGAAUCUUGACAACACUUGUAAAGUGUUGCCUAAAACAUUUUUGGCUACGCUUUUAAAGCAUAUCCUUAGUUUUUACCAUUUGGCUACGGUAAUUUUGGCAACACUUAUAAAGCGUGCUCUUUAGUAGUAUAGGCUACACUUUAUAAGCAUUGCCACAUCAUGAUAUAAUUAGCAAUGCAUAUUUAUACAUAUGACUACGCUUUUAAAGUGUGAUAUUUUUAUAAUUCUUAAAACAACAUUUUACAAGUGUGGCCUUAUAAUUUUCCUAAAAUUUUCACCAAAAUAAUGUAUUCCCCCAAUAUAUUUAACUCUCCCUCCAAUUUCUAAUUGGUAAAUAAUAACCUCAAUAUAAACAUAACUCUAAAAACGUUUUACCCCAAAUUAAAAUGCUCUCCUAGUUACUCUUUGCCUAUAUCACUACUCAAAAAUUAAACCCUACUUUCACUCCUUCUCAUUUCCAUCCCAAAAAGUCUCCAUUGUAACUUUAUCGAUGUUUGGUUGUGAUUUCCUUAAUCGUGCUUCACCUUUAUGGGAGAGGCUAAAGAAAUAAUUUGAAGAAUUCCAGAUCUGUAGGAAUCGGAGAAUCUACAAGAACUCAGGUAAAAGCUUCUCUUUGUCCCAAUAUAGAGAGCUCUGGUAGGAGCAACACUUCCCAGAUCAAUCUAAGAAAUGAGUGCCCAAAUCACAUACGGAGGUUCAGUGAAGUUUCUGCUCACAAUUUUCUCUUCGGUUUCUGCUCAUACUUAUGCCGUUGGAUAGAACAAUCCAUUUCUAUGUUAAUUGCUCGUAAUAUUUUGAAAAAUAUUUAGACACUUUUAUGGUUCAGUUUUGGUUGCUAAUGUGUUUGAGAUGAAUAUUUGUUCAUUUCGUUUUUCUUACAGUACCCGACUAUAUUGUCUUAUGGUCCUCCUUGAAUGGGAAGAUGACGACCCUUUAGGGUUCUGUUUUGUACCCGCUUCUCAGGUAUGUUUAUGUUACAUGUGGAUUUUACUUGGGGGUUUCUCUACUUGAUGUUAAUUUAAUUAAGAAAUUUUUCGUAUGGUCGAUUGAUUAUUGAUUCUAUAGAUCUUGUUCCUGAAAGUCAAUUUAUAUUUUAGCCAAGAAAGUACUUUUUGAUGUCAAUUUCAUAUAGCAAAUUGUAGUGUGAUGAAAUUGAUUAUGAAAUAAGUCUAUAAAAAUCUGAUUUCUGUAAAUGUCUUCCAGCCACCUAAUGACCUAUAAUGCUAGUCGAAAUCCGAUUUAGUCUAGGAGUUUCUAUCUUACAUUGUUUCUAGUUUAGCAAUGAAAAACAAUUUCGUUCUUUUUUAAAUUCAAAGUGUAAAGAGGAAUAAGUUGGAACUUUUGAAAAAAGGUUCACUACUUUGGAGCAAUUUAACCUCCCUUUUUGUUUUCAAAGAAUUAUAUUAAGUAAUAAUAGAACUUUUGGACAUAUAUUUUCUUUAUACUAUUUAUAUUCUAGAAAUUGAAUGGACAUAAAACAACUUGCUGCCUUGCUUCAAAUUCUAGUACAUGUAUUCAAGCCUAGCUUAUCUUCUAGCUGCUGCUAGUUUCAUGUUUCUACACACAUUUUCUCUCCAUUAUUCAUAGAGUCAACUAGGAUUGUGUUGUUUAAAUGUAUUAGGAUAAGAAAAUAUAUUUACUUUCUUGAGUUUACAUCCAUAUGUUGUUUAAUAUUUUGAAGUCUACUUGAGUAAUGUAUAACGUACAUGCCUAUUGUUUUUGUCCGAAUCCCUACACUUAGUUGUAGCGAAUUCUUCCGGAAUAUGUCAACUAAUGUGACAAGUUUAAGAGAUGAGCACUUCCUUUUUUUAACAUUCUAAUAGGUAAAAUCCUCUACUGAACAAGAAUAUUCUUGUGGAGUUUCUUGUGUUGUUUUUGAGAUUAUAAAAUACAUUUUCCAAUGGACAGGUGGCUCUUAAUAUUCUCUAACAAAAGAGAAAUCAUAUUAUCAAACUUGGGCUUUAUGAGUUUAUGUUGCUUGAUUGUUUCCUUUUUUCUACCUUACUUUUUGUAUGUAUAUAUUUCAUCUUUCAGUGAAUUUUUCUUUAACAGACCCAAGUAGUAUUAAGUUUAGUAAUAUGGAGCUAAAUUCUAGUGAUGAUAGUUGUAUCAAUGUAGUUCAUACAAAAAUUAAGAACUUCUAUUCAUGUUGGUUCUAAUCGAUAAAGUUAAACUCAUGUCUUGUCUAGCUCAAUUUUUAAUGCAUUUUGAGCCUCUGUUUUACUUUGUUGUUUAAUGAGAUAUCUUCCUUACUCAUUUCAGUGGUUAUCAUUGCCCACCAUUUAAGAUCAAAAUCCUUGAUAAAGCAGAUUCAAUGACUCAUGAUGCUUGAGUAAGUUGCAUUACUUGUUUUUACUAUAAUCUACAUAAAUUUGACCUAACACUCGAAUUUGCAGAAUCAAGGCUUACUUUUUACUAAUAACCCAAUAUAAAAAUUAAUGUGACACUAUUUUAGGAGUUCAAACAUGAUAAUGUUACUCAUAGUAAGCAUGGAAAAUAUAAGAGAAAUCGGAUCAGUUAUGUUAACUAUAUUUCUCCUUUUUUUCGGUUAACAUUAUAAAAGAGUUGAUUAUUCUAAAUUGAUGUGACAGAGGGGGAGUAGUAUUUUUGUGAUUUCCUUUUGGUGUAAAGUAGAACUUGUAAAUGAAGUUGAGUCCAUGUUAUAGUUCAUAAAUUUACUGUAUACAUUGUCAGAGAUCUUUUGGGUUUUUGAUGUAAUGUUUUACACAAUCUUCAUGCUUUCCUUUUUGUAAUAUAUGUAGCAUUUAAACAAAAAAACUUUUUGUCGUGAGCUGAAGUAGGCUUGUGAAGACCUUAAGGAUUCUUUAUAACCUCCUUUAGCAUUUAAAAUCAAGGUUACUACAUGACUUGACAAUGUACUUGCUUAGUUGCUUAAUAUACUUAGUUACACUAGCAAUGCUAUGUUGAUUUUCUGCUGAAAAUCUUUUACUAUUUGAAGUUGACUUGUAACUCAGUAUUCGAGCACUUUUUUUUUUUGAGAAAGGUAACUUGUAUUAUAAACAACAUAUUUUAAAAAUAAAUGGAAUGUAGUAGAAAUCUGAAUUAACUUAUUGGAAGUAAACCUUCCUCUCUUGUUGAUAUACCCAUUUUGUCAGCUUAUUUCUGGACUUUCUGAUAAGCAUAUGCAAAAAGAUGAGCGAUUGAAGAACUUUCUUUUUUAGGUUUAGUUUUUGGUCUCAAAAUUAGAGUCGCUUAGCAUGAGAUUUUUUCAAGAUUCAUGUAUUUGAAUGAUUCUUCAUAUAAAUGUCACGGGGGAAAUAGGUCUUUUCAGACUGCCAAGAUCCCAAUCGUUGAAGGUUCUUCUGCAAAGUAUAUUUCAUUGAUUGUCCUCUCUGUUAUGUGCAAUUAUAGAACAGACCUUCCUAAAAUGCUGAAAAUUCAUCAGGCUUCUCCUUUCCAAACAACUGUAGAACAGACCUUACUAAGAAUACAUGGACUUAGUAACACCUGAAAAAAAUGCAAAUAAUGAAAACUUUUUACUUGCUUCUAGCAUUCUACUUUUGGAUUAGUAGAUUACCAGGCUUAGGGAAGUGCCUUUGUUUUUUCCCUCUAUUGUAGAUUAAGUUAAGCGAUAACCAUUCCAAGUUAAUUGCAUUGUUGUUUUUCAGGUUUGGUUGAGAUCAUGUGGCAUGGCAUCAUUUUACAUCUCUUUUGAUGUGAAUAUUUCUAGAGAUCUCCACCGAGCCUGCUCUCGUAAUUGGGGGAUGCUUUGUCUUGGUAGCAUUGAUCCUAUCACUUCUCUUAAUUUUUCAGCAUCUCAGAUAUUAUACUAAUCUGGCGGUGAGUUCUCAAUUUAGGUAUACAUGGACUACUCUUUAUUCUAAUUUCUUAGAAUGUAGGAUCUAAAUUUGUGUUUGCUUAUCAGGAAACAAAAAUGGACCGGUGGGGGUCAUUUUCAUGGUUCCUGUCUAUGCCACUUAAUUAGUAAGGAUAUAGACCAGUGAAAGGGACUAUGAUUUCUGAAUUGUAAAUUGAGACAUAUAUCCAGUAGAUAAGGUUCUAAUUGGAUAUAAUAUUAUAAUGUCUUCCUGCAUCUUUCACUAUUUUACGAGAUACACUAUCUUUAAAUGCAACAUUCAUGAUUAAACUGAUUGCCUAAAGCAACAACGUAAAUUAAUCUUUAAAGCUGAUGCAAAGUUUCUAAAUAAGUAACUUCAAAUUCUCAUGAGUUAAAUGAAUUGGUUCUCAUCUUUUACAGAUUGUAUCCUUAUGGAACCCAAAAUUUUCCCUUGCAUGCGACAUAUUGAGGAAUUGCUAUGAAGCAUUCACACUCUAUUCUUUUGGUAGUUACCUGAUUGAUUGCCUUGGUAAGCAUGAUAUCUAUUCCCAAUGAUGUUGCAAAAAUACGAAAGAUAUCUCAAUAACUUCCUAUGAUUCUUGUAUAACCAGAUAACAGUGAAUCAAAAUAUCUGAAAUGUUUUGAUAUUUUAACCAUACCUAGUGAUCAACAUUAUGGCUUCAAGCCCUACAUUUAAACUUUACUUCACAAUCAUCAUACUAGUCUAGAUUUCAAGGCACAUUAGCCCUAAGCCUUAGUCAUAAGUCAAUUCUAAGCAUAAUUCGUCAAGAGUCCCAAUUCUUAAUCAUUUCAAUUCAUAUUAUAACAUACAUGCAUAAGUCUAGUCAAUUAUGAUCUCGUAUUCACAUCCUUGGAUAUACUCCAUACAUAUCAACAACCCAAGAGAAUCUAACAAAAUCAUCAAUUCCUUAUCAAAAGAUCUAAACCCACAUACUUGGAAAUUAGGGUAAAUCAAGGAAUUCACAUAAAUUCUUCAUAAUAUCAUGAAUCAACAUCAAUUUAAUCAUAUAUGAGUAGAAUCCAACCGUUUGGAAUCAUACCCACCUAAAACCCAUGCAUUGGAAGUAACCCUACCUUCAUUGGGGUUCUUCUUCACAAAUUAGGGGAAAUUCUAGGGGACUCUAUGGGUGAAAGAACCCAUAGAUGAAGAGCUAAACAUACCUUGAACAAAACCCUAGCACAAGCCUUUAGCAAUAAACCCUUUGUUCUUGACCCUAGCUUCAACCCUAGCUUCUUCUUCAAUGAAUGUUCUUCUUUGAGAGAGAAAUAUUUGAGAGAGGAGUGAUUUGGGGCUUUGAAUUGUGUCUAAUGCAAAGUGACUUAAUCUUGGGGGAUAAAUACUUAAAAUAGUCUCAAUAGGUGAAUAAAAGACAUACAAAACGACCCCCCACAUAAACCUAGUCGCAUAGGAAUUUACUCAAAUGUCACUCAACUUAGCUUCUCUGUCCAGUGGUCACACCCACUUGUACGGACCGUGAAAGGGGACCACGACCCGUGCUGGUUCCUGUGUUCCUCUAAGAAGUAGCUCCCCCAAAUUUCCAAGGCCCUCAAUCACCCUAAAACACGUGUGUCUAAGGGAUAUUCAAGGACCCCUUCACGGACCGUGGUCCACACCACUGGUCGUGAAGGUGGUCGUGAACUCUUAGGCAGUGGCUGCCAAGCUUGGGCAGCCUUGGCCCUUUGGCUUAGGCUUGCCCUUUUGCCUUGGUGGCUGCCCUUUCCAUGCACCACCAAACACCUAUAGGUCAUCUAGGCUACUAGGUCUAAUGCACACCUUGAUGCCCUACCAUUAAAAUCCUCAUUCACAACACAUAAAGUCUCAUCUACGAAACUAUUUCACAUACGACACACCAUAGAACCCUAGCUCUUGGCUCUAGUUUGGUCUAAUAGUUUCCGGGGUGUUACAAAAUGAAUGAACAAACAGGUCAAAGGCAACAAACUAAAGGCAAAGAAGGGCAGUCAGGUAUACCAAUUAGGAAAAAUAUUAGUCAAUCUGAUGCUACUAACACUGAGGCUCAUUUACACAAUGUGGUAAAUGAGCAAAUCAGUAGAACUGUUGAAUUGUCGAAACAGGUAAACAAGCAGGUUCAAAAAGACAAGGAGGGCCAAAAGGAUCAGAAUAAGGAAAUAAAUCAACAGGGCGGAACAAAUGGACUUCAACAGGGCAAUGGUAGAUCCAACAUGGUUUAUCAGAACAACUUCCCUAAGAUCUCCAACAAUUAUACUAGGUAUGAUCCUAACCUUCAGAGGAAUACAAAUGCUACUCACCAAGAUAACAAUAAUAUAACUUAAGGCAAUGUGAAGCAACCAAACAAUCAACAACUUGGUCAGGCCCAUAAUAAUGUUAAACAGGACAUAGUUCCUAAACCUGCGCCUUUCACUAUUGUCCAAUCCUUUGCUGCUCGUCUAAGAUAUAACCAGUCCAAGAAUGAAAUCCCUAUUGUGUUGGAUAGUAUCAUAUUUACCACGAGACAGGGGCUGCCUGCAGUGCGGUUAGAAGAGGAUGAUUAUAAUAUUAAACUUGCUGAAAGCUUUAAACACACCUUAGUGGGAAAAUUCACCAACACCAUGCCCAAAAUGGAGAUCAUUAGGAAACGUUUUACUUUUCAGACUCAGCUAACUGGGGGAGUAAAAUAACUCAUUAUAACUCUAGACAUGUGUAUAUUGAUCUUGAUAAUGAGUUUGAUUAUGUUACGAUUUGGACUAAACAAAGGAUGAGUAUAGAAGGUCAAUUGAUGAUGAUCCAAGCAUGGACUCCUGAAUUUACACCGAAAGAAGAAACCCCUAUAGUCCCAUAUGGGUAGUCUUACCUGAACUCCCAUUGCAUUAUUAUAACAAGGUCCUCUUGACGACUAUUUUGAGCCCCAUUGGUAUGGUUUUAUAUCUUGACUCACCUUCCUCUCAGAAGACUAGAGGCAGCAUGGCCAGGGUGAAGAUUCAAAUUGAUCUUACCAAGGAAAGACCUCCCCAUGUUUUGGUGGGAUUUAAGAAUUCUAACCCCAACAAAGGAAAGUGGAAAAAAGCUCAUUAUGAAGGAAUCCCGGAUUAUUGUAUGUAUUGCAAACACCAAGGGCAUAUGGAUAAUGUUUGUACUAUCAAAAUAAGAGAUGAGGACUUGAAAAAAAUGAAAGAAAUGGAAGCUGAAAAAAGGAACAAGACUAAGGGUGAGCAAGAGAAAUGAUGCACAAAAAUCAUACAGGUUCAUGACAGUGAUAUAUCAAGGGCAACUACAAGUUCACAAGUUCAACAUCAUCCAGUUAAAAAGAGGGAGACUCAUAUACAGAAUCAACAUGAGUAGGAAAUAUUUGAACAAGAAGAACAAUGGCAGAUUCAUAAAAGAAAGCAAAACAAAAAUCAGGAACAACCCAACCCCAAGGCUGCAUAGAGACCUGUCUCACCUCAACAUAAAGGAACUAAAGACAACAGGCAAAAGGAGCCAACACCAUCAGGUAUGCUAACUACAAUUCAUACUCAUAAUAAUUAUAUUAAUAUAGAAAUGCAGGAACAACAAGACAAAGGCAAUGCCGAGGAAGGCCACAACAGCAAAACUUCAGGCCAAGAAAUACAUUCAUUACAAGGGUCAGAGAUGGAUCCAUCCCUAUUAAAUUUUCACAAUAACAUAAGUAUGCAAGAAAAAUAGGCUGCAGCCAGCACAAGAAACAAGACCAUAUGUAUUGACUCAGUUCUCCCUAUACCCCAUUCCCCUUAUACUAAAUUUAUUGAGAAUGGUGUAAUCGCUGAUGAAGUUACUGGAGGUAUAGAUGGGGGGUGUAAGUAUAAUCCAACUAACUUGCAGGAAGGGGUUACCAAAGGGUGGAGUUUUACUCAUGUUCUGCAUGAGGUUAUUCACAUCGACCAUAGUACAUACCUUAGACCUCCUGCUACCACUACUCCAAUGAAGAAUACUCAGAAUACUCCUAAAAAACAUAGCCAAAUUCAGGGGGUCAACUCUGAGCAGGUCCAAAGAGAUUCAGGUGUCAAGGAAGCAGAAAAGGGUGCUAAGGCUCAAAUUCAGGAAGCUGGUAACAAUUUGAAGGGUGCUGGUAACUCUCAUAUUCAGCAGUUGUUAUGGGUUACUAAUGUUGAAGGUACUCCUAACAAACAACAAUGAAGGGAUAACAAUAUUGACAUAGAGGAGUAGAAACACCAACCUAGUAAUGAGAACUCAGGGAAGCAUACCAACAAUAGAUCACAAGGCAGACCAAGUAAGAAAAAAAGGGAAGCUAUUAAGAGAAAACAACAACAAGAGGCUGAAAGAAAUGACAAGACUGAUCAGGGCAAGAGGGUUAGAGGAAAUCAGAAUCAGCAACUACAUACAUGCAUGGCUAAUCAGAAAUCAGAUUAUGAUGUUUUAAACUCUGAGGAUGAAUUUGAUGAAGACACUCAUUCUCUUAAUGAAGAGGAAGAGGAUGUGGAUGUGGAUGUGGAUGGGGAUGAGACUAGUGCUCACCUGAUUAAGGCCUUUGGAUCCACUUUCCAAAGUGAGUCUCAAGCAGAAAUCCAAACAGUUGCUGAUCAACAAUGUCUAUCACCUAGAGGGAGAAAACAAGUCAGACAGCAAACCAGACAAGCAUCUAUGAGCACAUCUGCUAAUUCUAGCAGACCCAACACUAGGUCCAAAAGCAAAGGUUUUUAAUGAUUAAAGCCAUGUGUUGGAAUACUAGGAGUAUCAAUACCAAAGGAUCCUUGGAAAGAGUCCAAAAUCGCAAGAAAAUUCACAAUCUCUCUAUGAUUGCAAUUCUUGAACCUUUCUCUAAUAACUCCCAACUAAACAACUACAAACUUCAACUCAAUAUGGACAAUGCCUUCUCUAACCAAAAUGGUAAGAUUUGGAUUUUUUGGACUAUUGACUAUGAUUGUAACAUUUUAGAAUCUGAUGAUCAACAAGUGACCUGUGAGAUGAAACACACAAGGAGCCUUGAGAAAUUCAGGAUCACAUUUGUUUAUGCCAAGUGUAAGGAUGAGCUUAGAAGGCCUUUGUGGGACAGAUUCAUUCACCUAUCCACUGUGAAAAUUCUUUGGUGCACAAUGGGUGAUUUUAAUGUGAUCACAUCUAUUGAUGAAAAGAAGGGGGGAAUACCUUACAAUAUGAACAAGAGUUUUGAGUUCAUCAGCGUGAUAGAAGAAAGUGGGCUUAUUGAUCUGGGGUACAGUGGUUCUCAAUUCACUUGGUGCAAUAACAGGGCUGAAGAAGCAAAAGUGUGGAAGAGACUUGAUAGGGCCAUGGCUAAUGACCAAUGGUUAGAAAGAAUGCCUUAGAUUGUUAUCACACACCUGCCCUCAGUAGGGUCUGAUCACAGUCCUUUAUUACUAGAAAUGAUUGACAAACAGGAACACACUAUCAAAUACUUCAAGUUCUUGCAUUUAUGGAUGGAAAAUGAAACAUUCAUGAGCACUAUCCAAAACUGUUGGGAAAGAGAAGUUACAGGGGAUCCUAUAUGGUGUCUGCACCAAAAGCUGAAGAGGCUGGCUUCUACUCUCAGUUCUUGGUCCAAAAGAGAAUAUGGGGAUAUCUUUGCUACUGUGAAAGAGUUUGAAGAAAAGGUUAGAAAUGCAGAGACAGAGGUGCUUCACAAUAAUACUGCAGACAAUAGGACAAAGCUCCAAUGUGCUAAUGCUGAAUACAUUAAAUUUAUGAAAAUGGAGGCUGCUAUUCUUAAACAGAAGACUCAACUUCAGUGGUUCAGGGAAGGAGAUGCUAAUACAAAAUAUUUUCAUGCUCUCAUGAGCGGAAGAAAGAGGAAGUUAUUCAUCCACCAGAUCAAUAAUGAAGUGGAGAAUGGAUACCAGGAGAUGUUAAUAUUGCUAGGGCUGCCUGUGAGCAUUUCCAAAACAUUUUCACAGGCCACCAGGAUAACAUCAAUGAGGAGAUCCUUCAAUGCAUUCCUAGACUGGUCACUGAGGAACAAAAUCAGGCUCUAAAAACUGACCCUACUGUUGAAGAAGUGAAACAGGUGGUGUUUGCCAUGAAUCCUCAUUCAGUAGCAGGACCUAAUGGUAUGAAUGGGAAAUUUUUCUAGGUGUGUUGGGACAUCAUCAAAGAAGACCUUUACAGAGCAGUGCUAGCCUUCUUUUUUGGACACAGUAUGCCUAAAUACAUGACUCAUGCUUGUUUUGGUUCUUCUUCCAAAGAUCGAUCAUCCCAAAAAACUGUCUGAAUUCGGGCCUAUAAGCUAGAGAAACUUCUUAAAUAAGAUCAUUUCCAAGCUCCUUAGUAUCAGACUUGCUCCCAUCUCAUUUCAAAAUAUUAGAGUGGGUUUGUAAGAGGCAGAAGUAUUUCGGAGAAUAUUAUGUUGGCUCAGGAAAUCAUUCAUGGCAUCAAGAAGCCCAAGUAGGGGGAUAAUGUAGUGAUCAAGCUAGACAUGGCCAAGGCAUAUGAUAUAGUGUCCUGGGCUUACACUUGUUUGGUUAUGAGGAAAAUGUGUUUUAGUGAGUUCUUCAUUGAUAUGAUAUGGAGGAUUAUGAGCAACAACUGGUACUCUGUUAUCAUUAAUGGAGUCAUGCAUGGCUUCUUUCACUCUACUAGAGGGUUGAAACAAGGUGAUCCUUUGUCACCAGCCCUAUUUAUUUUAGGUGUUGAAGUACUUUCAAGGAUGCUGAACAAUCUUUAUUUGAAUCAGAACUACCAAGGUUUUCAUAUAGAACCUAUAGGUCCUCAGAUAAACCAUCUUAGCUUUGCAGAUGAUGUUAUUAUUUUUACCUCAGGAAAAAGACUUGCUAUUCAGAUUAUUAUGAAGACUCUGACUACAUAUGAACAUGUGUCUGACCAGCGUAUUAAUAGAGACAAGAGCCACUUCAUGCUUCCUAUAGAUUCUCAUCAAGACAUUGCUGAAAUGAUUAAGGAGGAAUCUGGAUUUACACAGAAGGACAAUCCCAUUAGCUAUUUGGGACGUCCUUUGUACAUUGGGGGGUAGAGAAGUAUCUACUACUCUUAGCUGGUUGAUAAGGUAGCUAAAAGGAUUAGUGGGUGGCAAGCUAGGAUGCUGAACUUUGCGGGUAGAUUAAAUCUAGUGAAGCAUGUCCUCCAGUCCAUUCCCAUUCACACCAUGGCUGCUAUUUCCCCUCCCAAAACCACCCUUCAAUACAUUAAAAGAUUAACUGCAGAUUUUUUCUGGGGAAGAGAAAAACACAAGAAAAAAUAUCACUGGGCAUCCUGGGAGAACAUCACCUUUCCUUAUGAUGAAGGUGAUCUGGAGGUAAGACACCUCAAUGAUAUAUGCACUUCCUUCCGGUAUAAAUAGUGGUGGCACUUUAGUAGUACUAAUUCUUUAUGGGGGCAAUUUAUCAAGGCCAAGUAUUUUCAAAGAGCUAAUCUUGUUGCUAAGAAGUAGGAUACGGGUUAGUCUUUGGUUUGGAAAUAUAUGAACCAAAACAAACCCAACGUAGAAGAACACAUCAUUUGGAAGAUUCACUCUGGUACUUGCAGCUUUUGGUGGGAUGAUUGGCUAGGGGAAGGCCCUCUUGCUCACCAUACCAAUGAAAGCACUAGGCUCAACAACACUACUGUUUCUCAAUAUAUUCUUAAUGGAGGGUGGAAUGAAAAUAUGGUUAGACAACAUGCACCUCCCUUGAUGGUCCCAAAGAUUUUAAAUGUGCAGAUUCAGUUUCAAGAAGGUGUUGCAGACUAACCUAUCUGGAAACUUACUGAUAAUGGAAGAUUCACUUGUGCUUCUGCAUGGGAGAGUAUCAGAACUAAAAGGCCCAAAAUCAAGUUGUACAAUUAUAUUUGCCACAUACAUAUUCCCUUCAAGGUCUCCUUUUUAUUAUGGAGAGCCUUGAGAGGGAAACUUCCUACAAAUAACAAAACAACUUCAUUUGGAGUGGCUCCUGUUAAGUGUUCCUGCUGCAUCAAGUUUGGAUGGGAUAUGAUUGACCACAUCUUUGUGACUGGACAUUUCGCUAACCACAUUUGGCAAUUUCAUUCAGCUAUAUUUGGAGUGAGGCAGGACAUAGUUCCUUUGAAGAAUCUGAUCACGAGAUGGUGGACCAUGGAAUACAAAAAUGAAGUACAAAAACUUUUGUAUCAUGCAAUGCCUAUUAUCAUCAGCUGGAACCUUUGGAAGAACAGGUGUUCAUCUAAAGAUGGAGGGAAACAUUCUAACACUACAAGAGUCAAAUUCAUGAUCCUCAAAGACACUUCCCUCCUUCUCAAUACUUUCUUUCCCUCUAUGAAAUGGCCUUGGUCUUGGCAUGAAUUGAUCAGUUAUGUUCAACAAUGCUCUCAUGAAAUAUGAGUCAGGCCUAUCACCUGGGCUAAACCUCCUGUUAACAACUGUAAAUUGAUCACUGAUGGUAGUGCAUUAGCCAAUCCUGGCAAGAUAGGAGGGGGUGGCAUUCUUAGAGAUCAUGUAGGGGACCUUAUUUUUGCUUUCACAAUACCUCUUGGUACAGGCACCAAUAAUCAGACAGAGGUCCAGGAUGCUCUUUUUGGUUUGAACUAGUGCUAUCAACAUAGCUACAUGAAAGUGGUGUUGGAAGUGGAUUCAGAACUCCUCACUCAUUGGCUAAACCUUAAUAUCAACCCUCCAUGGAAGAUACAACAACAUGUUAAGGAGCUGCAGAAUCUCAUUCAACUGAUGGAAGCAUUUCAAUGAUUGCAUACUUACAGGGAAGCCAACACUAUGACUGACUUUCAAGACAAAUUGAGCCACGAGAUAGACAUUCCUCAACUAUUUUACACUCUUAACCAACUACAUGUUCCAGUUAAAGGAAGCUACUUAUUGGAAAGGAUGGGCAUGAUCAAUUUCAGAAGAAGGAAGCUGAAAAGAAUAAAAAAAGAGCCUUGAAUAACUCUUUACAUGUCUUUUAUCCGUUUCAACUUGACUAUGUCUAAUAAUAGGUAUAGUUGGUUUGAAUAUGCUCUUUUUAUUCUCUUCCCUUUUGUAAGGGGAGAGUCUCCCUUAUUUACGCUUUCCUAGUAUCUUUGUAUAAAGAGGAGUCCUCUCCUUAGGUGCUUAACUUCAUGGUUCUGUGACUUUAGGCGAUCAAGGUUGAUGUCGCCGAGUCGAUCGGCGAUCUGCCGAUUGUUUAUUUUUGUCGCCAAGUAGGUUCUUCCCCAGGGCUGGAACGCUGGAACUUUAGGCGAGCUAAAGAGACACACAUCGGUUCACCUAGUUGUCUUGGCGAUCACUAGGACUGCCUUCCUUCAACUUCUUCAGAGUUUCGCUCCUUUUUGCCCGAUAAUGUCCUUGCCUUGCUCCUAAGCCUUCAUUGCUGCAAAUAGCCAGUUUAACAUUAGUUUAGAGCAUAAAUUAAGCAUUUGAGGACACUUAAACCAUGAAAAAAAAGCCCUAAAUGAGUGGAAAUCUCCGACUCAUCAACACCCCAACUUAAACUUUUGCUUGUCCUCAAGUAAAACUCAAGAUCAAUAAUUUCAAUAAGGAUGUCUACAAACAGUGCUACUUAAGACUCAACACAAAUGCACCCAAAAGGUUCAAACUACACAUACAAUAUCCAAAUGUGCACUCAAAGUUUCAAAUUGUGACUCACCAUUAUCAAAUAUACUCAAGCUCACAAUGCUUGCUUCAAAUUCAAGUUCAAGCUCAACAAAAGCAUUCAAAUGCCCUCACAACAAGGAUAUUCCAUAUUUCACAUAAAAUUUCUCAACAAUUUAAUAUUCCAGAAUCAAAUACAACUCUCACGCUCAUAAAGAUGAACACAUGCAUGACUCCACCCAUAGGUUUGCCCUUAUUUUCCAAUCAACAUUCGUUUCAGCUGACUCAAGAUCACAAAGGUCUUUUUAAGACUUGUAAUGGGGCUGAGUGUAAAGGUAUGGUCAUUUAGGCUUAUUGGCUUCUACCUUCAUGAAGUAUAGCCUAAAAAUCACUUUUUCUCCUUCUCUUUCCCAUUCAAACAUGUUCGUAAUUCACCCCAUUAUUCAACUAAACAUGAAUCACCGGAUACCUUAUUUUUUUGCUUCUUUCACACACUUUAUUUCACAACUCUUCUAUUCAUUCCUUUUUUUUCACAUUUUUUCUUUCCUCCUUUGUUUUUUUUAUAUGGAGGAGUUCCAUAUUGUUCAAAACAAUCCAUCAAGGGGGAAAUUUUUCACACUUCUUGACUUUUCUCCUUUUUCACCACACCCCAACUUAGGCUUUUGGCCUAUGUUAGCUAUUAAAACAAACCAAUACUUCAUGAAGGUUAUGAGUAGUGAUAAAAAGAGGCCAAAGUUGUUCAAGUUUCUUCCAAAGAAAAGGAUAGGCUCAAAAGGUUCCAAGCAAGGUUCACACUUCUCACAAGGUGGCCACAAAGAGGUAUAUUAUCAAUUUGGUUCACUCUUCGAAACUUUUUCCUAAGAUCAUUUCGAUCGCUUGCUUCAAUCAAUCGGACCAACGGACCAAAUUCUAGGUGUCAUGAAGCACAAUAUUCAAGACAACCUCACCAUACAAGGCAUUCAAUACAAUUAUCAAACAAGACUACACUUUCUAGCAAGCGUGCAAUGUUCAUCAUAAGAGACUUAAUCGAUAAUCAGCUAGUCGCAAUGAGAUGCUAAAAAUUCACAUAUUGCUUACGUAACUUAGUUUGCCUCAUCGUAGCCACACAUUCAUGUCGUUCAAUUAAAAGCACUAUUCAAGUAAUUGGUAUUGACCACAACUGAUACUCGAAUUAGGAAGAGAACAACCGCAAUCACACACAAGAUAUGUGGCAAAAAAUUUAAAAUUGGUCAAAACCCUUUAUACAUCUAAAACAAUGGACCACAAUGUCUCAACAACCAAGAUAUAUAUAUAUAUAUAUAUAUAUAUAUANNNNNNNNNNNNNNNNNNNNNNNNNNNNNNNNNNNNNNNNNNNNNNNNNNNNNNNNNNNNNNNNNNNNNNNNNNNNNNNNNNNNNNNNNNNNNNNNNNNNNNNNNNNNNNNNNNNNNNNNNNNNNNNNNNNNNNNNNNNNNNNNNNNNNNNNNNNNNNNNNNNNNNNNNNNNNNNNNNNNNNNNNNNNNNNNNNNNNNNNNNNNNNNNNNNNNNNNNNNNNNNNNNNNNNNNNNNNNNNNNNNNNNNNNNNNNNNNNNNNNNNNNNNNNNNNNNNNNNNNNNNNNNNNNNNNNNNNNNNNNNNNNNNNNNNNNNNNNNNNNNNNNNNNNNNNNNNNNNNNNNNNNNNNNNNNNNNNNNNNNNNNNNNNNNNNNNNNNNNNNNNNNNNNNNNNNNNNNNNNNNNNNNNNNNNNNNNNNNNNNNNNNNNNNNNNNNNNNNNNNNNNNNNNNNNNNNNNNNNNNNNNNNNNNNNNNNNNNNNNNNNNNNNNNNNNNNNNNNNNNNNNNNNNNNNNNNNNNNNNNNNNNNNNNNNNNNNNNNNNNNNNNNNNNNNNNNNNNNNNNNNNNNNNNNNNNNNNNNNNNNNNNNNNNNNNNNNNNNNNNNNNNNNNNNNNNNNNNNNNNNNNNNNNNNNNNNNNNNNNNNNNNNNNNNNNNNNNNNNNNNNNNNNNNNNNNNNNNNNNNNNNNNNNNNNNNNNNNNNNNNNNNNNNNNNNNNNNNNNNNNNNNNNNNNNNNNNNNNNNNNNNNNNNNNNNNNNNNNNNNNNNNNNNNNNNNNNNNNNNNNNNNNNNNNNNNNNNNNNNNNNNNNNNNNNNNNNNNNNNNNNNNNNNNNNNNNNNNNNNNNNNNNNNNNNNNNNNNNNNNNNNNNNNNNNNNNNNNNNNNNNNNNNNNNNNNNNNNNNNNNNNNNNNNNNNNNNNNNNNNNNNNNNNNNNNNNNNNNNNNNNNNNNNNNNNNNNNNNNNNNNNNNNNNNNNNNNNNNNNNNNNNNNNNNNNNNNNNNNNNNNNNNNNNNNNNNNNNNNNNNNNNNNNNNNNNNNNNNNNNNNNNNNNNNNNNNNNNNNNNNNNNNNNNNNNNNNNNNNNNNNNNNNNNNNNNNNNNNNNNNNNNNNNNNNNNNNNNNNNNNNNNNNNNNNNNNNNNNNNNNNNNNNNNNNNNNNNNNNNNNNNNNNNNNNNNNNNNNNNNNNNNNNNNNNNNNNNNNNNNNNNNNNNNNNNNNNNNNNNNNNNNNNNNNNNNNNNNNNNNNNNNNNNNNNNNNNNNNNNNNNNNNNNNNNNNNNNNNNNNNNNNNNNNNNNNNNNNNNNNNNNNNNNNNNNNNNNNNNNNNNNNNNNNNNNNNNNNNNNNNNNNNNNNNNNNNNNNNNNNNNNNNNNNNNNNNNNNNNNNNNNNNNNNNNNNNNNNNNNNNNNNNNNNNNNNNNNNNNNNNNNNNNNNNNNNNNNNNNNNNNNNNNNNNNNNNNNNNNNNNNNNNNNNNNNNNNNNNAUAUAUAUAUAUAUAUAAACAUAAAUUGGCUGCAAUAUUCACAAAACCAAAACUAAAAACAAGCUAAUAUUCACAAAAUCAGUCCAAUAGAGGUAGGUAUGGCAAUACCUCACCCCGCCAACAAAAAUAAGCAAUUGUCCUCAAAUGCGAAUAAAAACAGAAACAGUCUAAAAAUAACAGAGAAGGAGGCAAGAAGAUCAUCCUGCCAGGCUAGGCCUGGGGUGAAGUCUUCAUACCAGUUAAUCCUUCUGGUCAUCAUUUCAUGGUGUCUCAACAUCCUUGGCUUCACUGGAGCCCUCCAUAGACAUGCCCCUUAAUGAGGCCUGCAUAGCUGUCUCCACCAUCGCACCCUCUUGGUCCGCCAAAUCAUCAUAGACAGUCUCAUCUCUCACACCGAUCUGCUCCUCAUCUGUCUUUCCCUCGGACUCACCCUAAGCAUCAUCAGCUCUAACCUCAUCUCCGGUAGUAGCCGGAGGAACCUCAGAACUAGCCAGAACAUCAACACUUGACAAGUUGGGAAUCUCCAUCAUCCCAAACACCAUAGUCCAAUCAGUGGACUUCAGCUGGUCCACAUCUUUCCUCAACCCAGUAAUAUCGGCCUUCCAGGCCAUCACAUCAACAACAACAGUCUGACUCUGCUCACAUUCCUCAACUUUGACUGUAACGACAUCCAAUGCCAACUUGUGGCCCUCAAUCAAUGCUCGGUGCUCCCUCAACUCAUCCUUUAUAGGUGCUAAAGCAGCUGUAAUGGCCCACUCUAUCAGCCCAAGCACAACAGCCUUAUCCCGGGAGGUGUGUACAUCAGCUGAAUGAUCCAGAUGGCCCAUCUUUUACAACAUGGACUGGGUGAUUAGGGGCAUUGAGGUAGCAGCAGCAACAACAAAAGUAGUGGGAGAGGGUGCAGUAGAAGAACCAAGGGCAUUAGAAACAGAAGGGCCAGAAAUACCUGAGCGCCCACUAGCUUGAGGAGGCAUGAUUGCCUCUAACGGCAACUUCUCAACUUCAACCUCCGAGGAUGUAUCCACCGGUGCCGCCCUCCUCCUAUCAGCCUCAUCCCAUAAAUACUCGGCCUUAAUACGCCAUAUGUCAGUAGAAGAGGUGGGUGUCACCUCCUGCUCUGUCUUCACAUAUCUCAGAACACGGGCCCACCGACAUAAUUUAGUAAUCAGCUCGGGGAAAGGGAGUGAGAUCUGGCUCUACUUGGACCUUAUGGCCAUCUCCCGCUCAAUCAACAACCCCAAAUACAACCUCUUCUUAGCUAUGAUGAAACCAAGGCAAGCUGCCUUCGGGUGGCGGAGGAUGGACUCGUUCGGAGAUGGCAUAAUGGUGCUACUGAUGAACCCGAAUCAGUAUCUGGAAGCAACAUUUAGAUCCUUCUUUUAUAUGGGUUCACCUGCCUCUAUCCACCUUGAGGUGACUUCAGAGAGAACGGGUGCCAGCCAACCACUGAGAUUAUCUAGGGUCUUCUUCUUGACAAGAUCGAUCUAAUCAUGCAUAAAGUCUGAUGAGCACCCCAAGACAACAUUUAUAUCUAAGCAACGAAAUUUGACUUUCUUGCCUCAAACCAUCAUAAAGUCCACCAGUUUGAAGCACUUUCCUUCUUCUUUCCCUUUCGCACUAACUUUACGUAGGCUGGAUAGAACUCCCGGACCCAAGUAAGAAUGUAGGGCUCUCGGGGCUUUGUAAACACCUCAAACUUGUGGAACUUGAUAGUUCUCCACACCUUUGGCUACCUAUCCACCACACCAUCGUUAAACAAUCUCUUCUCUUCUAGAAUGGUCCUCGAUCCAUUGGCCUUUAGUCGGUUGAGCGAUCGGGAAGAAGGACCUUGAACUGGUGGUGCUGGGACUAGUGUUUGUGCUGGAGGAGGAGCUGGAGCUGGGGGAGGAGGAAUAGGUGUCAGAGGCACCAGAAUCCUAGAUGGAUCAUUUAAUGAUAUGCAGCGUAGCUCCGGUCUCCUGGCUUGUAACAAUUGGUCAUCUUCUGUAUCGGAGAUAGAAGCUGUAGAAUCCUCAUCUGACUGACUCUCACUGCCAGAUGUAGUGAGGUGUGUGGUAUACACACCCUCACUAUCGGAGCUCUCCUCCACUAGUGUCAAAUCUACUGGCGCCUCCCCCUUGCCUUUACCUCUCUUUGGAGGUAUUUUUGUAGCCUUUGCCCAGGAAGCAACUACUUCCUCAUCGAUUGUAAUUCCCUGUGCCCGCUUUCGGGGUGGUAUGUCUCUACCAACUACUUUUGGUGUAGCCAUUCCUUGAAAACAAUGUGAAAAACGUUACAAAAAGUCAUGAAAAAUUCUAGAAAAAGAGUUGCAGGAAGACUCGCCGAACCGAUCGGCUAGUCACCAAACUACUUUGGCAAGCCAGGUCAGGGUCGCUGAAAGUUCCAGAACAAAAAUGCUCAAAAAUCAAAGCUGGUAGGCGAUGUCCAGGGCCAUUCGGCGGAUCACCGAUGCCAAUCUAUGAACUAGAUGCAGCUCUUCGAAUGUUACAGAACAAUUAAGGGAAUUAGAGACGCAAAAGGGCGAUCAGUAGGAUUUUUGACGAGUCGCCGAGUGAACUCAGUGAGCACAGGUGUAUUACCGAAACUUACAAAACACAAACUCAACAUUUCAAGAAAUAAAGGGAAAUCUAGGGGACGUUUGACAAACCGCCGAACCACUUGGCGAGCUUGACCCAGCUCGCCAAGUAGUACAUUAUGCCAAUUUUUCACCCCGCACUUCAAAAUCAAGCCCGCAGCACACGAAAACAAAAUUAAACACCAAAAACAUGCAUUAACACUAAACCCAUAUGACUCAUGCCCUAGAGUUACUCAGACUUCCCCCAAUUUUGCAAAAAUUGGCCAAUCAAUGUCUUUUGCCCUUAAGAAUCACGUCAACCGCACUAUCAUCAGGCAAAAUUUGACAAUUAACACAAUUCAAGUUUACUCAGACUUCACCUCGCUAGAUCCAAGAUAGUUACAACAAAACCCAACAACUUAAAUUCAAUUUUAACGAGUAAUGACACGAGUAUCAAUGAGUUAAUGCUAAUUAUUUACGAUUUCAAUUAAGAACUGGUAAACCAAUUAUCAACGAUGAACGAAACACAAAACACACAAAUAUCGAGCAUAAAAUAAACACUUGCAUUUGAUUUCAACCAACUAUUUUGUUUGAGGUUUUGAAAACCAUCGUUGUAUGCCGAAAAGAUUUGAAAGUUAGGAAGCAAUGAAUCCCCAAAAUCCACCCUGAGCAAAGAUCCCAAGUGAAAUGAAGAUGAUAGCACGAAAAAGUGAGAAAUCUAGUAUCGGGUGUGAGAGUGCGGAAGUUAAUAAGUAGGAAAGUAAAAGGAUUUUUGAAAUUUAAACCAUUUGGCCUUUUAAAACCUUUUAAUUUGCAUGCUAGUUGACGAGGAAAUUCGCGUCCACUGACCCAUUCGGCGAUGCUCCGAGUGAUAUUUUGGCUCGCCGAAUUUUACAGAACUUCCCAUAAAUUUGGGGGUUCAAACGACGGUUAAUGUCGGGCUCGCCAACCUAUUCGACGAAUCACCGACUGAGCUUUUGGCCCUCCUAGUUUUAUAGAAUACCCCAUCAAGCUUGGUGGUUCAAAAGGUGGUCCAAAUCUGGCAUGCCAACCUGUUCGGCGUGUCGCCGAUUGGACUUUUAGCUCGCCUACUACUACUUUUCCAGAACUUUCAACUUUUGAACCUACUACAAAAUCAACACCCGCUACUCAAAAGCAGAAUUUAAAAGCAUCAAAAACUUGGGUUGCCUCCCAAGAAGUGCCUUAUUUAGCGUCAUGGCACAACAGAGAUACCAAUUCAAACUUUAUUUUUGGAAUUGGCCAUUGUGUCACGAGGCAACCCUUCUUUCAGCCUUAGAUUGAAAGGAGUCGAGAUUUGACCAAUUUGUGUCUCUAGCUAUUUAAUAGAGACUGAGUGAGAAGUCACCGUCUGAUUGAGAGUUGAGACAUCCUCCUUCAUCUCUUUAAACACUUUGUGUGAUCCUUCUACUGUAUUGAGAAAGCGUGCAAGUAUGUCUUCCGUGCGGAAUUUUUCAGGGUCAGCUCUUUGCUCUUUAGGCUUUUGGCGUUCAUGAGGUGGGACGUAUCUUUCCUUCCAAGUAGAAUUGCAGUCACGCCAUUCUCUAUCACGGUCUCUAUAUCCAUCAUCUCUAUUCCAACCCAAAUUUCCACUCGGCCUUGGAUAGUUUGGACGAAACCCUCCUCCUUGAUUUUCAAGGAAGUUCGCUUCCUCAUUAUACAACGCUUCAAAGUGCGCUUCAUCGGAGUUUUCUCCACCAAUACCAACAACAUUUACACUCUUCAACCCAAUACCCGUCACAUUUUUCGACAAGAUAUCAAGCUGGGUCAUCAUUUUGGCCAUGUUUUGGUCUCUCUCCUUGUCCUUCUCGAUCUGUUCUUUUGUCAUUCUAAAGGUGAGAGGAGACACUUGGUCCUUACGAGUAUAUCAUGCUCUGUUGAUCUUGGUCAUGCCAUCGAGUAGCUGGGAUGCUAUCUCAUAAGGUUGUUGCAUUAUACCCCCAGGAAUAUUUUGAUGAGCAACACCUUUGUUCACCGAGUCAAAACUCCGAUAGAAGUGUUGUAAUAACACGUUGUUUGGUAGUCCGUGAGUUGGACAUUAAAGUACCAACUUCUGAAAUCUCAGCCACGUCUUGUGGAUUGUUCACUUCCAAGUGUUUGAACAAUUGGAUAUUAUCUCUGAGUGUUAUCAUCUUUGACGGGGGAAAGAAACUCACAGAGAAUGCUGCGGUAAGUUCAUCCAAAUUGGUGAUGGAGUUCCUCGGUAGAUCAGCUAACCAUUUGGUAGCUUCACCCAUCAAAGAGAAUGGGAACAAUCGAAGACGAAUUGAUUCUUGUGAUAUGUUCUUGUACGAGAACGGACCACACACGUCCACAAAGUUCUGAAUUUGCUCAUAAGGAUCUUCGUGGGUUAGCCCUCCAUAUAGUCCUUUCAUUUACAGGAGCUGUAGCAUUAUGCUAGUGACAUGGAAGACAACAUUUCCCUCAACAGGAGGUCGAUGUAUCACACCAACACUGCCUAAUUGAAAUGGGUCAUUAACAUCGUUCAUAUUUCAAAUAUCAUAUUGGUGGCCAACUUGGCUACCAUUAAUCCUGUUCACGUUCAUUUCUUCCUAUGUUCAAACAAGCCAACAUAAACACGAAACAAAGUAAGUCAAUUCAACUACAACACAAAAAGACUACAACUCAAACUUUAACAAUAGAAUUGUAAAUACCACUCCCCAGCAGCAGUGCCAUAUUUUGAUAAACGCUUAACCACACCUCAUCCAAUACUAGGUGUGGGCAGUUGAGGUCAAACCCACAUGGAGUGGUACAAGUUCGAAUUCAGUUAAGAAGUUACAAAGUAAUCUAAUUUGUAGUAGGAAUAGAAAUUAUCGUAAACAAUUAGUUAAAUUGAAAGGGGUGACAACAAAUGUCGGAUGAGGGGAUUGAUUUGUCAAUUAACAACUAAAACAAUUACGAAAACAAAGGUUUCAACAAUAUUGAGGGAUUUCUUUUGGGUUUUUGAAAUAAUGAUUUGAAUGGGUGAGUUUUGGGGUUAAAAUCACUUAUAUAGGGGUCCUAGACAUAGGAAAAAUGACGUAGUACCAAUAUAAAAUAAUUAGGAACAGACCGAACUGCCCCUAAACUCAACUAUCGACCACUGACCCACGAACCCCUAAUCGACGGACCGUGGUCUAAUCGACGGUCUAUCCUUGUAGUCUGUCGUUUGGGGUCAGAAACCCUGGACUUGGGGUGCUGGACCACAAACUAUUGUCUGACCGAUAGUUCGUUAGUCAGGCAGUGCUUCCUGGAACUUUAACCACCUUUGGAAAAUUUUGGGUGCUGGUUCACGGGCCCCUACCUACGGUCCGUUGUUCUACCCACGAGCCGUGGUUGGCCCUCAUGGAUGGCACCGACAACUUCUAAAAUAUCCUAUGCUGCCCUCUUUCGAAUCUGGGGUGUUACAGUAAUCUAUUGCUUACGAGUCUAUUUUGACGACAAAGAGGGCUAUGUGUUACUUACAGGGCUAUGUUGAUGCAAAAGAGGGCAAUGUGUCGACUACAUAACUAUGUUGUUUCAUAAGAGGGCUAUGCGUGGCCUACGAGGCUAUAUCAUUGCCUAAAAGGGAUAUGUAACUUCUUACAAAGAUAAGGGGCCAUCGAUAAGGGUAUGUAGAUUGAUUUGGCACCUUGUGGGGUUUUGGGAGCCUAGGUAGGUGGUAUGUUGUUUGUACCUGCCGAGCUUCUGAGGGCAUGGUCAGGCUUCUGUUUGAUUAUUUUUGUAUGUUUAGAUUAAGUAGUGGGUUAGCAUGCUUAUAUAAAUUUGAUCUACUUACAUGAUUGCUUUCUGUAUAUUAUGAUACCUGCUCAUUAAGUAUAUAGCCUUUCAUACUAGUUGCAUUAUUUCGUACUGACACCCCAUUGCCUGGGGGGCAUUGCAUUCAUGCUUGCACGUCCCGAUAGAUGACUCGAUAGACCUCCCUAGCAGCACAAUUGAGUUCCUGUAGGUUGGCUAGCCCUUUGCCUCCGAAGCUGUCAGAGUUGAAAGAUUUGUUGAAUUCUAUUAUUUAUAGUUUUUGGGUAUGUUUGGGCUCUAUCCCAAAAAAUCUUUAUUACUCUUAGAGGCUUGUAGACUAGUGUGUCAGGUUUUAUACCCACGUUAUUAUCCAUGUUAACCUUGGUUGUUGGUGGCAAAAGUUUGGUGAUGGUUUGUUUUAUUAUCUUUAUACAUAGUAUUUCUUCAUUUCUGUAAAGAGGUAAUGGACGCUUUGACAGCCCAUAUAGCAUUUACAUUUUCCUAGAUAUCAUGGUGGCCUCAAUGACCCAAACAGGAUAUAUGUGCUACCUGGUUUUUUAUAUGAACCGUGGGAGUAGUUAUAUUUUUUAUAGGGUUGUUGACAGGAGCCUUGCCAGCCAAGGGCAUAUUUUAAAGUUGAGAUAUACUUGUUUUUUUCUUAACUAUUUGUGGCUUCUCCGUGCGAUUACAAAAUGGCUAAGCAGGGUCGGCUCAGGCCGAAGUUUUGGCAUUAGGUGCCAGUUGCGCCACCUUGAGUUUGGGGCAUGACAAGGUAUUCCCAAAAAAUUUCUCAAAGGAGAAUAUUAGCUGUAUUUCAAAUUUAUCAAUAAGAUACUUUUUCCUAGGACUAAAAGGGGAAUUGUUGCAUCUGAUGUUGAUCUAUUCCUCGUGGUGUCUCUUAGAAAGGUCGUAAAUAUCAAUCUCCUUACUAUUAUGUUGGAGCAUAUGCUCAACAUUAUCACUACUAUGGAUGGCAAACAUGAAAUGAUGUAUGGCUACCUACUGAAAAAAGUAUUCAAUCACUUUACUAUUCAUCAUGGCAAAGGGAUCAAAAGAACUUUAAGCACAUCAUCUCUCUACAAACACUUGUUAAGUGUAAAUGUGUGGAAGGAAGGACAAGGAAUAAGAACAAGGUUUCUGAACUGCAUGAGGAACAUGAAGAUUUGAAAUAUCAGUUAGAAGAGAUGAUGGUGAAAUAGGGAAAUAAGGAAGAAGAGAUUGCUUGCCUAAAUGCUCAGUUGUUGAAGGUCAAUGUAGAGGGACCAGGUGUAGAUUAACAAACUGCUUUGAAAAUUUAACAGGCCUGACUGUGCAAACUGUUAAGCUAAAAGAUAGGUUACUGAAAACUUAUGUUGGACGUUUGAAUAACCCCUCUCAUCCAAUCUCUCACUUCCAAGCCUCCUACAUCCUAAACUCUUAUUUUGUCACCUUCCUAUUUUUCUUGUUGAUCUUUUUAGUUGGCAUUGUCCAUCUCUUCUUGCACUUUUACUGCAGUAUUUUGAAUGUUAACGUUUUAUGACCAAUGAAUGUUUUUUCCUUGUGUUUACUAGCUUCUCUUAUUACUUUAUUCAUUUUACUCAUGUUCAAUGUUACUUAAGUGUCCAUCAAUUUGCAUAAACUGCAUACUUCCUACUUGGUUUACUACUUUAGUUUUUUAUGAUGUCAAAAGGGGGAAGAUUGUGCUGAGGUUAUGAGGGAUUAGUCAGUUGUAAGGAAUGACCUAGUCACGUUGACAAGGGGAAUAUGUUAAGUAAUUUUAUCAACAACAUAAAGAUGGGAAAUGUUAUUCCAAAUUUAUAAUGAUGUUUUAAUGAUUUAACAAACUAUGAGAUCUAAUAGGGACAUGAUCCCAUGAUAGAUUGAGAGUUAAGUUACAUGAAAAGGAUAGUUGUAAAAAGCUGCAACCACUGCCACUACUACAAUAUCAUUGCUCUAAGGUUUUUGUCCAUCCUAUUAUGGAUUUUCACAAAUGUCAUAACCUUAGUUUUUGCAUUCCAUAAGAAUCACACUAAAAAAGUCAUUCUCAUAAGAAAUAUUUCUCAUAUGCAGCAAGAGACUUGAUAGAGCUAUCUUUCGUUCUUAGUUAUUAUUUGAGAACAUAGUCUUUUGCUUAUUCAAUGUAAGAUCUAUUCCUGAGUUAUAAAGGAAUUAGAUCAGUUUGAGUCUUUCUUCAUUAGUCUGAGUUGUAGCUAGAGCUAGAUAUGUAAGGGUCUUGAUUUCUUUGGUGUUGUGGGAAAUACAAGUAUUGCUCUACUUUAUGUAAAAGUGUUGUUAUAUAGAAGGAGGAAGGGAUUAAUAGUUUAAUUCCUAGGUUUGCAAGAGUUUGCAAUAUCAAUCUUAGCUCUUUGAAGUUAAUGGAAUUGUGUUGAAAUCCCAUGAGACAUUUUAUGAUUUUCUCCUUCCUUGAGUAAGGGGGUUUCCACAUAAACUCUUUGUGGUCGUAUUUUAAGCUUUUACUUUACGCAAUCCUUUAUUGAUUCAAGAGACCUGAUUCAUUGACUAGUAGUGGACACAUGUAUUUCAUUAAUAUCGUUUACCUAUUGGAUAAUGUUGAACGAUAGGGUGGAGUUCACUAUUUCAAAAUGAAUUUCCCUAAUGAGUUCCUAAAGUCUUGAAUAAUUUUUUCAAGUAUUAAAUUUCUUAUUCAAACUUUAAUUAUUGGAAUCGGGUAUUGUGUUGAUUGACCCACCUUUCAAGAGAAUUGUUGUGGGUGUCGUUGUUUCUAGAAAGUGAUUGUGAAUACUUGCUUGUUUAUAGAUUGUGUGGCUUUGGAGGUAAUUCGGAAGAGGAAGGGUCAACUAUUGGAGUGAUUGUUAAUUGAUUUAAGGCAAGUGGCAUUCUAAACCUUGUAUUCUAGUUGAAUUUGUAUGCUUCCUUCGUUGAUUGUGUGUUGGGAGUGAUCAGGAUGAGGUGAGGGUUUAAAUUUUCCAUUUGUUAUAUCUAAACUAAUAAAAAGGGGUUGAAAUGAAAAAGGUUAUAUGAUGAAGAUGAUGAUGUGAAUUGCCUUAUUGUAACCCUUGUUGAUUGAUUAAUGAAAUGGUUGAAGAUAUGAUUUUGGACUUAAACUGUAUGAAUUGUUUUCUCUUCUGUGUGGUGUUAUAUUACUUGUGUGCAUUGACUUUGAACAUCAUUAUGAGACAUGUGAUGAUUCUAUAAAGCCGAUGGAAAAUGGUUCCAGCUAGUGAUGUGAUAUAAAGCCGAUGGGAGAUGGUUCCGGCCAGAGAUGUGAUAUAAAGUCGAUGGGAAAUGGUUCUGACUAGUGAUGUGAUAAAAAUCCGAUGGGGGAAUAGUUCAAGCUAGUGAUGUGAUAUAAAGCCAAUGGGAAAUUAUUCCGGCUAGUGAGGUGAUAUAAAGAUGAUGGAAAUAAUUUUGGCUAGUGAUGUGAUAUAAAACUAAUGGGAAAUGGUUCCAGCUAGUAAUGUGAUGUAAAGCCGAUGGGAAAUAGUUCUAGAUAGUGAUAUUGUGCCGAUGGAUAAUGGUUCUGGCAAGAGAUUGAUCAUUGUGACUUGAUGUGUUUGAUGCUUAAGCGUGACAUACUUAUUGAUUUUGAUUGAUGCACUUGUUACGCGUAAUUGAAAUACUUUAAAUUGAGAUUGACUUAUUUGAUUUGUUUGAUUGCUCAAUUGUGAAGAUUGAACUGUGAAUAUUGGGCUUUGUGAGUCGUGUAUUGUAGAAUUGUUAGGUUUGGUUGAGUUCUAUGCAGGUUAUAGUUUAAGGAGGUUGGUUGGAGCGUAAAAGGGUAUUCAAUUUCUAGCUAGUUGCUUUAUUUAGUAGGUCGUUUGUUAGGUACCGUGUUGUUGGUACUCACCCCUUUCUUCUACACUUAUGUAGGUUUCGAGAUCGAACCUGUGUGAUAUUUUUCUUCUCCAAACAUUCAAGGCUCAUUGAUGGAUCUGAGCGGUAGUUGCUUGCCAUCCAGGAGGGCCCUCUUUUCUUUUUUCUUUUAAUCGUUGUUCUACAUGAGAAAUAGAGAUUGAGACUUGUAUUUAUCAUUGAAUUCUGUAUUUUCAUUAGUGGCUUUACACAUGACAACCAGGUCUUGGGGUAUCGAUUAGAAUGAAUAAGUUUUCCGCCUUUGUCUUGUUCUUGCUUUACUGUUUUCUCUGUAUUUUCUUUCUUUUUGUUGGGUUAAGGCUGAGUUAUCUUUGUUUGGAAUAGACGAGUGUCAUCACAUCUGUUUUUGGGUCGUGACAAUAUCUUUUGCCUAUCCCAUCAAUAUUUUUUCAAUGAGAAUAUCUUCAUAGUGCAAGUGUUAUUAUUCCACUAAGGAUAGAUGCUGCCACAUUCGAAAUAAAAAAAAGUGUGUAUGUUACCCUGAAGGCCGCAGGACUAUUGUGUGGUACAGAUGUGUAAUAGACUUGUGUAAUAGACUUUGAGGGUCAUUGGUAUUAGUUCUUAUUGUUGUGUGAAUUGUCAUACAACAAAUUUUAUCACUAAUAAUGAUAUAUCACCAUUUGAGGCACUUUAUGGAAGAAGGUGUAGAUCGCCUAUAGGGUGGUUUCAGACAGAAGAUGUGAAUCACUUAGGCGUUGACAUUGUGAAGGAAGCAUACUUGAUGAAACUUCACUACAAGUGCGCAACCAAGCUUUGAUCAUAAUCGUGAAGCUAUAGGAACUUGCGACUCACAACUUAAAAACGAAGAAUUUUUUUUAUAUAGAAGACUUGCGGAUCUCAAGUGAAGAGCAUAACACAGGAAGUACUUUUUAAAAAAAAA
rnacentral:lncRNA from 1 species